AACGAACGCUGGCGGCGUGGUUUAGGCAUGCAAGUCGAGCGCGAAAGUUUCCUUCGGGAGACGAGUAGAGCGGCGAAAGGGUGAGUGAUGCUUGGGCAACUUACCUCUUGGACCGGGAUAGCUUCUGGAAACGGAAGGUAAUACCGGAUGGUCUCGCAGUGACUGCGGUCAUCGCGAGUAAAGGGGGGGCUUCGGCUCCCGCCAGGAGAGAGGCUCGAGUCCUACCAGCUUGUUGGUGAGGUAACGGCUCACCAAGGCGAAGACGGGUAGCCGGACUGAGAGGUUGGCCGGCCACACUGGCACUGAGACACUGGCCAGACUCCUACGGGAGGCUGCAGUCGAGAAUCUUCCGCAAUGGGCGAAAGCCUGACGGAGCGACGCCGCGUGGAGGAAGAAGGCCUUCGGGUUGUAAACUCC
rnacentral:rRNA from 1 species